CUACGGGUCGCACCAGUGGGGAAUAUUGCACAAUGGGCGCAAGCCUGAUGCAGCCAUGCCGCGUGUAUGAAGAAGGCCUUCGGGUUGUAAAGUACUUUCAGCGGGGAGGAAGGGAGUAAAGUUAAUACCUUUGCUCAUUGACGUUACCCGCAGAAGAAGCACCGGCUAACUCCGUGCCAGCAGCCGCGGUAAUACGGAGGGUGCAAGCGUUAAUCGGAAUUACUGGGCGUAAAGCGCACGCAGGCGGUUUGUUAAGUCAGAUGUGAAAUCCCCGGGCUCAACCUGGGAACUGCAUCUGAACUGGCAAGCUUGAGUCUCGUAGAGGGGGGUAGAAUUCCAGGUGUAGCGGUGAAAUGCGUAGAGAUCUGGAGGAAUACCGGUGGCGAAGGCGGCCCCCUGGACGAAGACUGACGCUCAGGUGCGAAAGCGUGGGGAGCAAACAGGAUUAGAUACCCCCGUAGUC
rnacentral:rRNA from 1 species